rnacentral:tmRNA from 1 species
GGGGCCGACUGGUAUCGACCGGACGAUGAUCGUUUGUCGUUGCGCGUCGUGGAGCAUCCAUGCCACGUAAAAAGGAUGCAAACUUUUAUCUGCCAACACGCAGUACGCUCUCGCGGCCUGAUCGCCGUGACGGAAUCCCAUCUGACGCCCGAUGGGGUGGGAUUCCGCAAAUCAUCGGGCUGGGUCCGAAGG